GACGAACGCUGGCGGCGUGCUUAACACAUGCAAGUCGAACGAUGAAGCCGGAGCUUGCUCUGGUGAAUUAGUGGCGAACGGGUGAGUAACACGUGAGUAACCUGCCCUUGACUCUGGGAUAACUGCUAGAAAUGGUAGCUAAUACCGGAUACGACCCUCGGAGGCAUCUCCAGGGGGUGGAAAGAAUUUCGGUCAAGGAUGGACUCGCGGCCUAUCAGCUAGUUGGUGAGGUAAUGGCUCACCAAGGCGACGACGGGUAGCCGGCCUGGGAGGGGGACCGGCCACACUGGGACUGAGACACGGCCCAGACUCCUACGGGAGGAAGCAGUGGGGAAUAUUGCACAAUGGGCGCAAGCGUGAUGCAGCAACGCCGCGUGAGGGAUGACGGCCUUCGGGUUGUAAACCUCUUUUAGUAGGGAAGAAGCGAAAGUGACGGUACCUGCAGAAAAAGCACCGGCUAACUACGUGCCAGCCGCCGCGGUAA
rnacentral:rRNA from 1 species